rnacentral:other from 1 species
UUAUCCCUGCGGUGUUGGUUAAGGUCUGUAUUCUUUGAACCAAUUUUUGUACCGGGUUGCUGACCAGAUGGCUGCUGUUGUGAGCAUCUUGCAUUAACGAGAUGCACCUGAUGCAACCGGUUGGCGACCAUCUUGAACCAUCAGGUUCAAGAUAUCAGCCUGACGGCAUUCGCGGGGACCCU